ACACUCCUACGGGAGGCAGCAGUGGGGAAUUUUGGACAAUGGGCGAAAGCCUGAUCCAGCAAUGCCGCGUGAGUGAAGAAGGCCUUCGGGUUGUAAAGCUCUUUUGUCAGGGAAGAAACGGUGAGAGCUAAUAUCUUUUGCUAAUGACGGUACCUGAAGAAUAAGCACCGGCUAACUACGUGCCAGCAGCCGCGGUAAUACGUAGGGUGCAAGCGUUAAUCGGAAUUACUGGGCGUAAAGCGUGCGCAGGCGGUUUUGUAAGUCUGAUGUGAAAUCCCCGGGCUCAACCUGGGAAUUGCAUUGGAGACUGCAAGGCUAGAAUCUGGCAGAGGGGGGUAGAAUUCCACGUGUAGCAGUGAAAUGCGUAGAUAUGUGGAGGAACACCGAUGGCGAAGGCAGCCCCCUGGGUCAAGAUUGACGCUCAUGCACGAAAGCGUGGGGAGCAAACAGGAUUAGAUACCCCAGUAGUCCCAU
rnacentral:rRNA from 1 species